rnacentral:rRNA from 1 species
ACGGGAGGCAGCAGUGGGGAAUAUUGCACAAUGGGCGAAAGCCUGAUGCAGCGACGCCGCGUGAGUGAAGAAGUUAUUCGUAACGUAAAGCUCUAUCAGCAGGGAAGAAAAUGACGGUACCUGACUAAGAAGCCCCGGCUAACUACGUGCCAGCAGCCGCGGUAAUACGUAGGGGGCAAGCGUUAUCCGGAUUUACUGGGUGUAAAGGGAGCGUAGACGGCAUGGCAAGUCUGAAGUGAAAUCCCGGGGCUCAACCCUGGAACUGCUUUGGAAACUGUCAAGCUAGAGUGCAGGAGAGGUAAGCGGAAUUCCUAGUGUAGCGGUGAAAUGCGUAGAUAUUAGGAGGAACACCAGUGGCGAAGGCGGCUUACUGGACUGUAACUGACGUUGAGGCUCGAAAGCGUGGGGAGCAAACAGGAUUAGAUACCCUGGUA